rnacentral:rRNA from 1 species
GCUGGCGGAAUGCUUUACACAUGCAAGUCGAACGGCAGCACGGAGAGCUUGCUCUCUGGUGGCGAGUGGCGAACGGGUGAGUAAUAUAUCGGAACGUGUCCAAUAAUGGGGGAUAACGAGUCGAAAGAUUCGCUAAUACCGCAUACGCCCUACGGGGGAAAGCAGGGGAUCGUAAGACCUUGCGUUAAUGGAGCGGCCGAUAUCUGAUUAGCUUGUUGGUGAGGUAAAGGCUCACCAAGGCGACGAUCAGUAGCUGGUUUGAGAGAACGACCAGCCACACUGGAACUGAGACACGGUCCAGACUCCUACGGGAGGCAGCAGUGGGGAAUUUUGGACAAUGGGGGCAACCCUGAUCCAGCCAUUCCGCGUGAGUGAAGAAGGCCUUCGGGUUGUAAAGCUCUUUCGCAAGGGAAGAAAACUUAUGAUCGAAUAAAUCAUGAGGUUGACGGUACCUUGAUAAGAAGCACCGGCUAACUACGUGCCAGCAGCCGCGGUAAUACGUAGGGUGCGAGCGUUAAUCGGAAUUACUGGGCGUAAAGCGUGCGCAGGCGGUUUUGUAAGUCGGAUGU